rnacentral:ncRNA from 1 species
UCAUAUAUUCAUAAUAUUAUGAAUGUAUAUUAAUGAUUUAAUUAGGCAUGGCCGGGUAAUAUAGUAAUAUAUUACUUUCUUUUCACUAUCUGCUGGAACACCUUAAGAGUAUUUAAAACUAGUUCUGCAUGCUUUCUUUAAUGAAAAGCGGUAGGAAACAGUGACAUUUAAAUAAUUAGGCAAUCAGCAGGAAACCAAAGAUAAAAGGGCUUAACUUUAAGCAUUAAACACUUUUAUUGAGUAGGAUCCUCAGAGACUACACGUGAAAUACCCUAUUAAGUGAUUAUUCUUAAUUAUUUAAGGGUAAAGAUAUAGUCCAACCAUUAACGAAAGUUAAUG